UGUGUGGGGGGGGUCUACCCCCCCUUACCUGCCUAUCUGAGCCCCUAUUGGGGUGGGAGCUGCCUAAUCCUUUUGACAAGAUACUUCACCUUAUCCUUUUAUAACUAGAGACACGUUUUUAUGGGGGGGCUCUGCCAGCUAUUGACUCACUGCCAGACAUUUCAAAUGGAGAGGGCAUCUGUCCCACCCCAUGCCAGAUUAGGACAGACCUAAAAUGUCUUCCCCUGGAUCGGAUAACAAAGUCCCUCUGCAGAAGCAGUGAGGCAACCGUUUCAGAACUACGUUAAAAGGCAAAUAAUUUGAAGGUCUGAGGUGUACCAAUGCCCAAGGCAUCAGCAAAGACAGGGAGCUGACAUAUAUCCCGAUGAUCCUGGCAAGUAGUCAACACUCCACAUAGCAGAUGGAGGCUUCCCAAAGGUGACUUCUCAAAGAAGUAAAUCAGGUAGGACUUGAACUGUGUUAGAUCAGCCUGCCAGGGGACAGAGCUUUCAGUAAGUACAAUAGACUAUGACACUUCAGGGUCACCUCAGAAUCUGAUACCUCAAUAUAGAAAUCCUAGAUAGAGAGGUGAGCCCUCUUAGAGAAUGUAGAUAGAGACUUCAUGUCCUGCCUUUAUCCCCUAUGCCUGGGACUAUUUUGUCUCUUUUAAAUUAAUGUUGCAUUUAAUCUGCAAUGUUGGAAGAUUUCCAGUUCUUCUGAUUUUGUCUGGUAAUUUUUGGAAGAUUGACAAGAAACACUAGCUAAUAGAUGCAGCAGUAAACACUACAGAGAAAGUGACAUCCUGACCCUACUGAAAUCACUGGCAAAACUCCCUUAGACUUCAGUGGAGCAAAGA